GAUGAACGCUGGCGGCGUGCCUAAUACAUGCAAGUCGAGCGAACAGAUGAGGAGCUUGCUCCUCUGACGUUAGCGGCGGACGGGUGAGUAACACGUGGAUAACCUACCUAUAAGACUGGGAUAACUUCGGGAAACCGGAGCUAAUACCGGAUAAUAUUUUGAACCGCAUGGUUCAAUAGUGAAAGACGGUUUUGCUGUCACUUAUAGAUGGAUCCGCGCCGCAUUAGCUAGUUGGUAAGGUAACGGCUUACCAAGGCAACGAUGCGUAGCCGACCUGAGAGGGUGAUCGGCCACACUGGAACUGAGACACGGUCCAGACUCCUACGGGAGGCAGCAGUAGGGAAUCUUCCGCAAUGGGCGAAAGCUUGACGGAGCAACGCCGCGUGAGUGAUGAAGGUCUUCGGAUCGUAAAACUCUGUUAUUAGGGAAGAACAAAUGUGUAAGUAACUGUGCACGUCUUGACGGUACCUAAUCAGAAAGCCACGGCUAACUACGUG
rnacentral:rRNA from 1 species